rnacentral:tRNA from 1 species
GCGGGGUUAGCUCAGUGGAAGAGCGCUUGCCUUACAAGCAAGAGGUCGUUGGUUCGAACCCAUCACCCCGCACCA